UCAGAUUGAACGCUAGCGGGAUGCUUUACACAUGCAAGUCGAACGGCAGCGCGGACUUCGGUCUGGCGGCGAGUGGCGAACGGGUGAGUAAUGUAUCGGAACGUACCCAGUAGCGGGGGAUAACUACGCGAAAGCGUGGCUAAUACCGCAUACGCCCUUUGGGGGAAAGCGGGGGACCUUCGGGCCUCGCACUAUUGGAGCGGCCGAUAUCGGAUUAGCUAGUUGGUGAGGUAAAGGCUCACCAAGGCGACGAUCCGUAGCUGGUUUGAGAGGACGACCAGCCACACUGGGACUGAGACACGGCCCAGACUCCUACGGGAGGCAGCAGUGGGGAAUUUUGGACAAUGGGGGCAACCCUGAUCCAGCCAUCCCGCGUGUGCGAUGAAGGCCUUCGGGUUGUAAAGCACUUUUGGCAGGGAAGAAAAGGUGCCGGCGAAUACCCGGCGCCGCUGACGGUACCUGCAGAAUAAGCACCGGCUAACUACGUGCCAGCAGCCGCGGUAAUACGUAGGGUGCAAGCGUUAAUCGGAAUUACUGGGCGUAAAGCGUGCGCAGGCGGCUCGGAAAGAAAGAUGUGAAAUCCCAGGGCUUAACCUUGGAAUGGCAUUUUUAACUCCCGAGCUAGAGUAUGUCAGAGGGGGGUAGAAUUCCACGUGUAGCAGUGAAAUGCGUAGAGAUGUGGAGGAAUACCGAUGGCGAAGGCAGCCCCCUGGGAUAAUA
rnacentral:rRNA from 1 species